rnacentral:rRNA from 1 species
GUUGGUUUUACCCGAAGACGGUGCGCUAACCAGCAAUGGAGGCAGCCGGCCACGGUAGGGUCAGCGACUGGGGUGAAGUCGUAACAAGGUAGCCGUAGGUGAACCUGCAGAAGGAUCA